AUGUUUGGGGGGGGGUGAGAGAAGAGAAGUAUGGGUUUUCAGACUCAAGUGUGAGAUGUGCCUCUCUCAGAUCUUGUUCCAAUGUCAGUACAUUGCCGGUCUGACA
rnacentral:snoRNA from 10 species